GACUACAACGUUGAUAGGCUGGAUGUGUAAGUCCCGAGAGGGAUUCAGCUAACCAGUACUAACGCUCGAACGCUUGACCAUAU
rnacentral:rRNA from 1 species